UACGUAGGUGGCGAGCGUUGUCCGGAUUUACUGGGCGUAAAGAGCGCGCAGGCGGUCGUACAAGUCGCGUGUGAAAGCCCCCGGCUCAACUGGGGAGGGUCACGCGAUACUGUUCGACUCGAAGGCAGGAGAGGGUAGUGGAAUUCCCGGUGUAGAGGUGAAAUUCGUAGAUAUCGGGAGGAACACCAGUGGCGAAGGCGGCGACCUGGGCCAAUACUGACGCUGAGGCGCGAAAGCGUGGGGAGCGAUCCGG
rnacentral:rRNA from 1 species